AGUGAAAUAGAACCUGAAACCGUGUGCCUACAACCGGUCAAAGCCCCAUAUGAGGGUGAUGACGUGCUUUUUGUAGAACGAGCCAACGAGUUACGGUAUGUAGCAAGGUUAAGUACUUAAGGUACGGAGCCGAAGGGAAACCGAGUCUUAAUAGGGCGACUAGUUGCAUGCCGUAGACCCGAAACCGGGUGACCUAUCCAUGGCCAGGUUGAAGCGAGGGUAAAACUUCGUGGAGGACCGAACCACGUUGCUGUUGAAAAAGCAUGGGAUGAGCUGUGGAUAGCGGAGAAAUUCCAAUCGAACUCGGAGAUAGCUGGUUCUCCCCGAAAUAGCUUUAGGGCUAGCGUCGGAUAUGUGUAGUGGAGGUAGAGCACUGAAUGGGCUAGGGGGCAUAUCGCUUACCGAACCUUAUCAAACUCCGAAUGCCAUAUACAUUUAGUCCGGCAGUCAGACUACGAAUGAUAAGAUCCGUGGUCAAAAGGGAAACAGCCCAGAUCGUCAGCUAAGGUCCCAAAGUGUAAGUUAAGUGGAAAAGGAUGUGGGAUUUCUAAGACAACUAGGAUGUUGGCUUAGAAGCAGCCACUCAUUUAAAGAGUGCGUAAUAGCUCACUAGUCGAGAGAUCCUGCGCCGAAAAUGUCCGGGGCUCAAACUUACCACCGAAGCUACGGGCUUGCGUAAGCAAGCGGUAGGGGAGCGUCGUAAUCGGGCUGAAGUCGUACCGUAAGGAGCGGUGGACUGAUUACGAGUGAGAAUGUUGGCAUUAGUAGCGAGAUGUAGGUGAGAAUCCUACAGGCCGAAUAUCUAAGGUUUCCUCAGGAAGGCUCGUCCGCUGAGGGUUAGUCGGGACCUAAGCCGAGGCCGAAAGGCGUAGGCGAUGGACAAUCGGUUGAUAUUCCGAUACCACUACCAUCGUUAUUAUCGAGGGUGUGACGGAGAAGGAUAGUGUGUGCUAGCGAUUGGAAAUGCUAGUCUAAGCGUUUAGGGAGUUACGGUAGGCAAAUCCGCUGUAACAAUUCUGAGGCGUGAUGGGGAAGGCCAUAUAGGCCGAAGUACAUGAUUCCAUGCUUCCAAGAAAAGCAUCUAGAGAGAGAAGUAGUGCCCGUACCGCAAACCGACACAGGUAGAUGAGGAGAGAAUCCUAAGGCCGGCGGAAGAAUUGCAGUUAAGGAACUAGGCAAAUUGACCCCGUAAGUUCGCGAGAAGGGGUGCCUGCGAGAGCAGGCCGCAGAGAAUAGGCCCAAGCAACUGUUUAGCAAAAACACAGGUCUCUGCUAAAGCGUAAGCUGAUGUAUAGGGGCUGACGCCUGCCCGGUGCUGGAAGGUUAAGGGGAACACUUAGCGCAAGCGAAGGUGUGAACUUAAGCCCCAGUAAACGGCGGCCGUAACUAUAACGGUCCUAAGGUAGCGAAAUUCCUUGUC
rnacentral:rRNA from 1 species